CAGUGCUCCUGCAGUGCAAUCA
rnacentral:miRNA from 8 species